rnacentral:rRNA from 1 species
AUUGAACGCUGGCGGCAUGCCUUACACAUGCAAGUCGAACGGUAACAGGUCUUCGGAUGCUGACGAGUGGCGAACGGGUGAGUAAUACAUCGGAACGUGCCCGAUCGUGGGGGAUAACGCAGCGAAAGCUGUGCUAAUACCGCAUACGAUCUACGGAUGAAAGCGGGGGACUCGCAAGGGCCUCGCGCGGACGGAGCGGCCGAUGGCAGAUUAGGUAGUUGGUGGGAUAAAAGCUUACCAAGCCGACGAUCUGUAGCUGGUCUGAGAGGACGACCAGCCACACUGGGACUGAGACACGGCCCAGACUCCUACGGGAGGCAGCAGUGGGGAAUUUUGGACAAUGGGCGCAAGCCUGAUCCAGCCAUGCCGCGUGCAGGGAUGAAGGCCUUCGGGUUGUAAAGCACUUUUAGUGGGGAGGAAUGCUCAGACCUAACACGUACUGGGAGCUGACUUAACCCAAAGAAAAGACACCGGACUAACGUCU